rnacentral:rRNA from 1 species
AUUGAACGCUGGCGGCAUGCUUUACACAUGCAAGUCGAACGGCAGCGCGGGGCAACCUGGCGGCGAGUGGCGAACGGGUGAGUAAUAUAUCGGAACGUACCCAGAAGUGGGGGAUAACGUAGCGAAAGUUACGCUAAUACCGCAUACGAUCUACGGAUGAAAGUAGGGGACCGCAAGGCCUUAUGCUUUUGGAGCGGCCGAUAUCUGAUUAGCUAGUUGGUGAGGUAAAGACUCACCAAGGCGACGAUCAGUAGCUGGUCUGAGAGGACGACCAGCCACACUGGAACUGAGACACGGUCCAGACUCCUACGGGAGGCAGCAGUGGGGAAUUUUGGACAAUGGGCGCAAGCCUGAUCCAGCAAUGCCGCGUGAGUGAAGAAGGCCUUCGGGUUGUAAAGCUCUUUUGUCAGGGAAGAAACGGUAGAGGCUAAUAUCCUUUGCUAAUGACGGUACCUGAAGAAUAAGCACCGGCUAACUACGUG